CCUACGGGAGGCAGCAGUGAGGAAUAUUGGUCAAUGGGCGAGAGCCUGAACCAGCCAAGUCGCGUGAGGGAGUACUGCCCUAUGGGUUGUAAACCUCUUUUGUCGGGGAGCAAAAGCCGGACGUGUCCGGCUGUGAGAGUACCCGAAGAAAAAGCAUCGGCUAACUCCGUGCCAGCAGCCGCGGUAAUACGGAGGAUGCGAGCGUUAUCCGGAUUUAUUGGGGUUAAGGGGUGCGCAGGCGGAUUUUUAAGUCAGCGGUCAAAUCGUGGGGCUCAACCCCAUCCAGCCGUUGAAACUGGGGAUCUAGAGUGUGCGAGAGGUAUGCGGAAUGCGUGGUGUAGCGGUGAAAUGCAUAGAUAUCACGCAGAACCUCGAUUGCGAAGGCAGCAUACCGGUGCACAACUGACGCUCAGGCACGAAAGCGUGGGUAUCGAACAGGAUUAGAUACCCCAGUAGUC
rnacentral:rRNA from 1 species